rnacentral:rRNA from 1 species
AUGCUGAGCACUUUGCCUACUUCUAUAGCUAAACAGAAAAUGUUGGCACAUCUGCUAAUUGACGGCACCGUCAAACUGCCUAGCGAAAUCCUGAAAAUGCAAGGAUUAGAAGAAGUAUCAACUGUUGGUGUCUAUAGUAGCAGGUCAAUUGAUUCAGUGGCAGAGCUCUUGAGGAAGUCGGAGCGGCUGAGGGUCCUUGGCAUAAGAUUGGAUGGGUCACACUUAUCUAAUGAUAACGAGAGUGUCAGGACUCUCCUCAUGGAGGUUACAAGGUCUAAUAAGCUUACUUGCCUAUCACUUGAUUGCCUCGAUUUUGGUUUGCUUGACAUACCGCUGGAGUUCCCUCCAUCUGAUCAGCUCAGAAGAUUUGAGCUGAAAAUCUCGGUUCCAGUCCUCGGACGGACUGCACACAGGAUGGCCUCUCUUGUCAGCGUUACCCACUUGGAUAUUAAAAUUGUUGGAUUAGAAGAUGAAGCUGUCCGUGCCCUGGGAGGUUUGCCUCAUCUAGUCCUUCACAAGUUAGUUUCUUCAGGUGGCAUAAGAUUCAGCUCACAACUCAAAUGGAACCCAGAAGGCAGGUGCAAAGUCGGCAUGGACCAUGGCUUUAAGUGUGUGAAAGUAUUAUCGCUCAUAUGCCGAUCUGGUGGGACGGAGCUGGAGUUCACACCAGGAGCCAUGAAGGAGCUACAGAGGCUGACGCUCGACUUCAGCGCACGGGAAUCACUGUGUAUCUAUGGAAAUUUGAGUUUUGGCAUCGAGCAUCUAUCUUCCCUCACACGAGUCCAUGCCAUGAUCAGCUGCAAAUCUGUUGUAGCUUCGGAGGUAAAUACUGUGAAGGAUGCGAUACGAGAACAAGCAGACAGCAGCAAUUUCCCCUAA